rnacentral:rRNA from 1 species
GACAGAGGGUGCAAACGUUGUUCGGAAUUACUGGGCGUAAAGCGCGUGUAGGCUGCUCCGAAAGUCGGAUGUGAAAGCCCUGGGCUCAACCUAGGAAGUGCAUUCGAAACUUCGGAGCUGGAGUCCUGGAGAGGAAGGCGGAAUUCUCGGUGUAGAGGUGAAAUUCGUAGAUAUCGAGAGGAACACCGGUGGCGAAGGCGGCCUUCUGGACAGUGACUGACGCUGAGACGCGAAAGCGUGGGGAGCGAACAGG